rnacentral:rRNA from 1 species
GAUGAACGCUAGCGGCAGGCUUAACACAUGCAAGUCGAGGGGUAUAGUUCUUCGGAACUAGAGACCGGCGCACGGGUGCGUAACGCGUAUGCGAUCUACCUUUUGCAGAGGGAUAGCCCAGAGAAAUUUGGAUUAAUACCUCAUAGUAUGUGAGAAUGGCAUCAUUUUCACAUUAAAGUCACAACGGCAAAAGAUGAGCAUGCGUCCCAUUAGCUAGUUGGUAAGGUAACGGCUUACCAAGGCAACGAUGGGUAGGGGUCCUGAGAGGGAGGUCCCCCACACUGGUACUGAGACACGGACCAGACUCCUACGGGAGGCAGCAGUGAGGAAUAUUGGACAAUGGGCGCAAGCCUGAUCCAGCCAUGCCGCGUGCAGGAUGACGGUCCUAUGGAUUGUAAACUGCUUUUGUACAGGAAGAAACACUGGUUCGUGAACCAGCUUGACGGUACUGUAAGAAUAAGGAUCGGCUAACUCCGUGCCAGCCGCCGCCGUAAUAC